rnacentral:rRNA from 1 species
UUAAAAUGCAAGACCACUGAAUGUGCUCUAAUUCAUCUGAUCUUGGAAGAGAACAAGGGUUAGACUUCCUUAGUACUUGAAUGGGAGACUGCAUGAGAACAGUAGGUGCUACA